rnacentral:tRNA from 1 species
UGGGGCUAUAGCGCAGUUGGUAGCGCAUCUCAAUGGCAUUGAGGGGGUCAGCGGUUCGAAUCCGCUUAGCUCCAU